rnacentral:rRNA from 1 species
GCUGGGGUUCCACCUUGCUUGUGCAGCCCGCCGUUGCGUCUGGUCGGGUGUCUUUAAACGGAUGCCCGUCUUUGGACGUGACCCCUUUACCUUGAACAAAUCGGAGUGCUCAAAGCAGGCUCCCUUCGCUCGAACGGUAGCGCAUGGAAUAAUGGAAAAGGACCCGCUUUCUUUUCUGUUGGUCUAACGAAAGCAGGUAAUGAUCAAGAGGGACGGAUGGGGGCAGAGGUAUGGCCCGGCGAGAGGUGAAAUUCUUGGACCCCGGCCAGACCCUCGAGAGCGAAAGCAUCUGCCAAAGAUGUUUCCAUUGAUCAAGAACGAAAGUCGCGGGAUCGAAGCGGAUUAGAGACCCGGACGUAGUCGCGACCGUAAACGAUGCCAACCGGGAAUUUGACAGCGUUACUUCCAUGACCUGCCAAGCGCCCGACCCGGGAAACCGAGAGUUUUUGGGUUCCGGGGGAGUAUGGUUGCAAAGCUGAAACUUAAAGGAAUUGACGGAAGGGCACCACCAGGAGUGGAGCCUGCGGCUUAAUUUGACUCAACACGGGGAACCUCACCCGGCCCGGACACCGCGAGGAUUGACAGACUGAGAGCUCUUUCUCGAUUCGGUGGGUGGUGGUGCAUGGCCGUUCUUAGUUGGUGGAGCGAUCUGUCUGGUUAAUUCCGAUAACGAACGAGACCCCAUCCUGCUAACUAGCCCUCGGGUCCGGCUUCUGGCGGGCCCGAUGGAAUGACUCGCUUCUUAGAGGGACUCGCGGCGCCUAGCCGCACGAAGGGGGGCGAUAACAGGUCUGUGAUGCCCUUAGAUGUUCGGGGCUGCACGCGCGCUACACUGAAGGCACCAGCGUGCGCUUUGUCCGUUCCCUGCCUGAAAAGGCCGGGUAACCCGCUGAACCGCCUUCGUGCCUGGGAUAGGGAUUUGCAAUUAUCUCCCUUGAACGAGGAAUUCCCAGUAGGCGCGAGUCAUCAGCUCGCGUCGAUUACGUCCCUGCCCUUUGUACACACCGCCCGUCGCUACUACCGAU